AUUGAACGCUGGCGGCAUGCCUUACACAUGCAAGUCGAACGGCAGCACGGGAGCAAUCCUGGUGGCGAGUGGCGAACGGGUGAGUAAUAUAUCGGAACGUGCCCAGUCGUGGGGGAUAACGUAGCGAAAGCUACGCUAAUACCGCAUACGAUCUAUGGAUGAAAGCGGGGGAUCGCAAGACCUCGCGCGAUUGGAGCGGCCGAUAUCAGAUUAGGUAGUUGGUGAGGUAAAGGCUCACCAAGCCGACGAUCUGUAGCUGGUCUGAGAGGACGACCAGCCACACUGGGACUGAGACACGGCCCAGACUCCUACGGGAGGCAGCAGUGGGGAAUUUUGGACAAUGGGCGCAAGCCUGAUCCAGCAAUGCCGCGUGCAGGAUGAAGGCCUUCGGGUUGUAAACUGCUUUGUACGGAACGAAACGGUGGGCUCUAAUACAGUUUGCUAAUGACGGUACCGUAAGAAUAAGCACCGGCUAACUACGUG
rnacentral:rRNA from 1 species